rnacentral:rRNA from 1 species
UACGUAGGGGGCGAGCGUUGUCCGGAGUUACUGGGCGUAAAGCGCACGCAGGCGGUCUGCUAAGUUUGGAGUGACAGUUGGUGGCUUAACUGCCAAAGUGCUUCGAAAACUGACAGACUUGAGGGCUUCAGAGGGACACGGAAUUCCGGGUGGAGUGGUGAAAUGCGUAGAGAUCCGGAGGAACACCGAAGGCGAAGGCAGUGUCCUGGCGCGUAACUGACGCUGAGGUGCGAAAGCCAGGGGAGCGAACGGG